rnacentral:rRNA from 1 species
GACGAACGCUGGCGGCGUGCUUAACACAUGCAAGUCGAACGGAAAGGCCUCUUUCGGGGGGUACUCGAGUGGCGAACGGGUGAGUAACACGUGAGUAACCUGCCCUUGACUUUGGGAUAACUUCAGGAAACUGGGGCUAAUACCGGAUAGGAGCUCCUGCUGCAUGGUGGGGGUUGGAAAGUUUCGGCGGUUGGGGAUGGACUCGCGGCUUAUCAGCUUGUUGGUGGGGUAGUGGCUUACCAAGGCUUUGACGGGUAGCCGGCCUGAGAGGGUGACCGGCCACAUUGGGACUGAGAUACGGCCCAGACUCCUACGGGGGGCAGCAGUGGGGAAUAUUGCACAAUGGGCGGAAGCCUGAUGCAGCAACGCCGCGUGCGGGAUGACGGCCUUCGGGUUGUAAACCGCUUUCGCCUGUGACGAAGCGUGAGUGACGGUAAUGGGUAAAGAAGCACCGGCUAACUACGUG